GCACCGAUGAUAAAGCGGUUAUCAUGUUUGCCUUCCAUAGUACAGCAGUGAUCAGAUGGCAGGGGUUCAACUCCCUUCGGCGCA